UACGUAGGGCGCAAGCGUUGUCCGGAAUUAUUGGGCGUAAAGAGCUCGUAGGCGGUUUAUCGCGUCUGUCGUGAAAGCUUGGGGCUUAACCCCAAGUCUGCGGUGGAUACGGGCAGACUAGAGGCAGGUAGGGGAGAACGGAAUUCCCGGUGUAGCGGUGAAAUGCGCAGAUAUCAGGAGGAACACCGAUGGCGAAGGCAGGUCUCUGGGCCGAUACUGACGCUGAGGAGCGAAAGCGUGGGGAGCGAACAGG
rnacentral:rRNA from 1 species